rnacentral:tRNA from 1 species
GGAUCUAUAGCUCAGUUGGUAGAGCAGAAGCCUCUUAAGCUUUUGGCCGUGGGUUCAAAUCCCACUGGAUCCACCA